AGAGAGUGGAGGGAGAGACAUAGGCCAAUAGGCCAAUAGUUUUGCUGGUUGAUACUUCAUCACUCUCUCUUCCCUUUUCCUUUGUUGUUGUUAUUGGAUACAUAGAUUUGACAUUUACUUGAAAUAUCUGAUUCACUUUUUAGUCAUCGUAGAGUUUAUCUGCAGAUGCAUUAUGUAUUGGUCCGUUUGAUUGGUAAGGUGAGACGGAAAACAGAUAGAGAGGAGAAGAGAAGAGACUGUUAUUGUUUUAAGUCAAGUCAGAUAAUUGAGGAUUUGUGUGCUCAUAGAGAGGAGAAUGUUCAGAAUUCAAUAUCUUUAGUUCUUAGGUGAAUUUUGCUUGUUACUUAUGAUUAUGUAGUUGUCUGAUUACCCUUAGUUUUAUCAAGAAGAUGAGAUUCAUUUGUAUGAAUAGGUUCUUCUCUUGGUUUGACCAAAUAACUGUCUUGCUAAUGUGGUGUUUUUUUUUUUGGUUUCA